rnacentral:tRNA from 1 species
GUCAGGAUGGCCGAGCGGACAAGGCGCUGCGUUCAGGUCGCAGUCCGGUCUUCCGGGCGUGGGUUCGAAUCCCACUUCUGACA